rnacentral:rRNA from 1 species
AACGAACGCUGGCGGCAUGCCUAACACAUGCAAGUCGAACGAGACCUUCGGGCCUAGUGGCGCACGGGUGCGUAACGCGUGGGAACCUGCCCUUAGGUUCGGAAUAACUCCCCGAAAGGGGUGCUAAUACCGGAUAAUGUCUUCGGACCAAAGAUUUAUCGCCUGUGGAUGGGCCCGCGUUGGAUUAGCUAGUUGGUAGGGUAAAAGCCUACCAUGGCGACGAUCCAUAGCUGGUCUGAGAGGAUGAUCAACCGCACUGGGACUGAGACACGGCCCAGACUCCGACGGGAGGCAGCAGUGGGGAAUAUUGGACAAUGGGCGAAGGCCUGAUCCAGCAAUGCCGCGUGAGUGAUGAAGGCCUUAGGGUUGUAAAGCUCUUUUACCCGGGAUGAUAAUGACAGUACCGGGAGAAUAAGCUCCGGCUAACUCCGUG